GUUUUGUGGGGUUGGAUUUUGUUGAUGAUUCUUUUUUUCUUACGGGUCUCUACAAGAAAGAACUUGAACUGAAGCAGAUUCGCAAUUUUCUGGGCCCUAGAUCGCGCAUCAGGUUAGGGCACCUCAGAUAUUACCAACACCAACCGCUGGAUGCCAAGAUUUAUCCGAAUAAAUUUCUCCAAAGCCACGUAGAAGAGAAAAAUCCAGCCAGUGUAAGUAUAUUGCCAACAAGACCCAUCCCGUGUUGUUCUGAUGACGCUAAUUUACGUGCAGAUGUUCCUGUGGAAGCCUAUGAGUACGUUGAUGAUAUAUCCGCCUUCUACAAAUCGGAAGAGGAAGAGAAAUCUAUGUGCAUAAAACCCAAUGUGGUUGCU